CCGGGUUUCCCAGCAGAACAUUUCCCAGAGCAUCACACUGCCUCCACAGGCUUGUUGUCUUCCCACAGUGCAUCCUGUUACCAACACUUCUUCAGGGGGAAGAAGAGGGGACCAAACGAGAAGAGUGGAUUUUUUUUAUAAGUUUGGGACGUUUGGGAGCCACUGCUCCCCAGCUAGCUUCCCCGCCCUGUCAAUGUCUUCAACCCCCAUUUCCAGAUCAACCACCCCAACUGCAGAGUCUACCACCCCGACUGAUGGUUCAACACCCACUGCUUCUUUUCAGCCACCCCUACUCAAGGCCUUGGCACCGUUCCCCUCCCUGCAAGUUCAUCUGGAGGUGUGGCGGCAGUGAAGAGAUAUGGGCCUCCACAGAGGAGAGGGAGAGGCAGUGGAACCAGCACAAGAGAGGGUCAUACAGGUAGCAUACGGAACGCAGUGAUGAUGUGGAACCAGAACAACUCUGGUUUAAAACAGCAGGGAAGAAGGAAGAAGUGCUGGAAACCUGCCAGCGUGGGGUGACAUGCUCAACUAUGUACAUUUCUGUGAUUGUCAAGAGACUGGUAAAGGUAUCGAGAUUAGCUGACAACUAGAGCAAUUCCCGCUGUAUUGAUUCGAGUUCCCCACCUCCAUCAUGAGGGAAAACCAGUUCUUGGCCAUCAAAUGCACUCUUCACAUAAGCGGCCCUCAAAAGCAUCAGGAGAAUGACCUGUGGUGUAAGACUUCUUUCUUUUACCACUUUGUGAACAUUGCUACAGUAAAUGUUUUCAUCAUCCAAAAACAGAUGAAGGACCUGUGUAACCAACUGUGUGUUUGAAAUAACAUUUUGAUACAUUUUUUGAAUGGAUAUCUGUCUAUUUUAGAA